UCUCCGUUGGUGAACCUGCGGAGGGAUCAUUACCGAGUGCAAACCCAUCACCCCUUGUGAACCUAUAUCGUUGGCUUCGGCGGCUUGCUCCCGGGCGAGCCCGCCGGUACUAUCACCGUCCCUGUUUGAACCCGCCGAUACUCUUGACUUUUUUUAGCCAACAUUUUAAAUUUUUAACAACCGAACUCUUUGCUCUCGCAUCGCUUAAGUACGCCGCCGAUCGGGACCGCACACGACCGGAAUCCACCCACCAUGCAUCCCCUUGUAUGCCCUCUUCUU
rnacentral:misc_RNA from 1 species